ensembl:snoRNA U8 U8 small nucleolar RNA
UCGUCAGUGAGGUAUAUCCUGACCUGUUCCUCCUCCGGGAGAAACAGUGAAAUGAUGAAUGGAGGCAGCAUGAGACAUGAUUAGAGUCUCCCGCUGGCCGGGGAACGCAACGCCCCGGCCUGCUCCUUUCUGAU